rnacentral:rRNA from 1 species
GGAUCAAGCGUUUAAGGGCAUUUGGUGGAUGCCUUGGCACUGAGAGGCGAUGAAGGACGUGGCACGCUGCGAAAAGCCGCGGGGAGGGGCGAGCACCCUUUGAUCCGUGGAUAUCCGAAUGGGGAAACCCGGCCCUUUUGGGUCAUUGUCUGCUGAAUACAUAGGCAGGCGAAGCGAACCCGGCGAACUGAAACAUCUCAUUAGCCGGAGGAAAGGACAUCAACAGAGACUCCGCGAGUAGUGGCGAGCGAAAGCGGACUAGGCCAGUGGCUGGAGCUUAAGAACCGGAAGCGUCUGGAAAGGCGUGCCAGAGCGGGUGAUAGCCCCGUACGGGUAGAAAGGGUUCUAGUCCUCGAGUAAGGCGGGACACGUGUAAUCCUGUCUGAACAUGGGGGGCCCACCCUCCAAGCCUAAGUACUCCUCAGUGACCGAUAGUGCACAAGUACCGUGAGGGAAAGGUGAAAAGCACCCCGAUGAGGGGAGUGAAAGAGACCCUGAAACCGGAUGCCUACAAGCAGUCGGAGCCUCCUUUGGGGGGUGACGGCGUACCUCUUGUAUAAUGGGUCAGCGACUUAGUCUCACGAGCG